GCAUUAUUGAUACGCCGGGGAACAAGUAUUCAUUCUUGUGAUGAGUACCAAAGAACAACUCUUACAUGUGCUGCUAAAUCUGACAACGAAGACCUCGUUGUUCUUUUUCUUAGAAAAGGGGUCGAUCUACACUGGCGGGACCAAUUGGGUGUGGCUCAUCAGACAACGAGAUAGCAGGACAGCCCGCUGUAGUAAGUCUUUUACACACGACGACUGAAAUAAGUGAGAUUUAAGGGCUAUUUGCCAUCCUAAUAUUUGUUUUCCUGCUGAUGGAGAAGAAGGUGUCCAUGAACUGAAAAUGAAGAACGAGCCAUAUUCAGACACAAAUAAACUACAAGGGAUCAGUUGAAGUGGCAACUGACAUAGCAGCAAAGAGGGCCACAGAGCGUGCUCCUGGUUUAACGGCCAAUGCAGAGGCUCAGAGCGUGAUGUCGGGCAUGAUGCCAGCGAUGCUGAUAUUUGUAUUCCCGCUGAUGGAGAAGAAGGUGUCCGGGCAUCUGAAGUUGAGAGAGAAGAAGGAAGUGUUUGGCGGCAUACAGCGUUGCUGAGAGCAAAGAAAAUUAGACAUCAUGCUGUUGGCAUUGUUAACCAGAGAGCAACUUUGUACAACUGUAAAAGUGUGUCAUUUUCCUUUGCAAUUGUGUUUCUUGAGCUUUAUCCAAGAAGCUAUAAACUAUACCAGAAUAUCCAUUAAAGUAUGUUGUUUCCUGAUUACAAAAUACUAAGAAAGAAAGUGACAAAAAAUUAAAUAACUUCACCUAAACUGCUAUAAUUUUCUCCAGUGCCAGUGAGAUGGCAGACGUUCAAUGAUGAGAUACUAGUUCAGAUUGCUGAAUGUGAACCUGUGUUGGACACUAUCCAAUGCUACCAGCCUCACCUCCGCUCUGCUGUACACCUGACAGACUACAUCUUCGGAUUGGUUUGCUCAGGGUAGUCUGUGUGGGUCUGUCUGUGCAGCAGACUCCAUUUCUUCUUCAUGCUUUUCCUCAGGAAUGCGAAGAGAGGGAUGGGAAGCAUGGCUGAGAGGCUAGCUCUGGAAAAACCGCCCCCCAGAGAACCCAGUGCCUCGGCAGUUAAUGUGCCCCAGGGCUGAGGAGGAAAAUUCUUGUAAAAGCUAGCUCCCCUCAGAACAAUGUGGCCUUUUAUUUUUUAACUUUGGAAUGGAGCCUAGCUGUCCAUGGAAACAAAGAGAGGAGAG